rnacentral:lncRNA from 1 species
UUGAAUAAAAACUUUGGAGAUAAAAAAUAGAGAUUGUGACUUCUUGGCCUUUUGACUAAGAUCAAGUGUAAAGGAUAGAGAUUAAAUAUCUUUUGGCAGUUGAGGCUUUCCACAAUCUAAAUUUACCUUGUCUUCUGUUUCCUUGUGACAUUACCACCUCACCUUAUUCCCCACUGUGUUUCUGCCUGAACCAAGACCAACUGGACCUGUCUGCUCACUAACAAACAUGUUAUUUACUUUCCCUCCUUCUAUUUCUCAACCCUGCAAAUUCUUACUACUCCUCCUUGUUAAUCAAAUCCUAGCAACUUUUUUGAGACUUGGGAUGUUCUACGUUUUGCCGAAAGCCUUCCCCCACCUAAUCUAACUUAUGCUAAUUUUCUCCUUUCUCAGAGCCUCUCCUAGCAUUUAUGACCUCUGGUAUGUAUUUUGACAUGUUUCCUUACUAUUAAACGUUAUUACUGAUCUUAUCAUGGGUGUAUGUCUGGACAAAAAUAAGACCAUUUUACAUUUAUUUUGCAUCCUCUACAGCACCUGGUAGACACUGUGUGUAUGUUAAGCACAUAAUCAGCACCCGUGGACUGAAUUUGCCCACUUGUUUCCUAGUGCCUUUCAAAGACAACCUGGUUUUGCCUUUUCUUUUCCAUUCAGGAGCUAAUUCUAUCCUCACGUGUCUGUCCUACCAAUACAGCCCUCUCUCCCUAAUAGAGGGUCCAGGGCCCCCAUUUAUCCUGUUCUCUUUGCAGCACUUUGUAGCAGAUCAGCUGUGUUUCCACAUUUGUUCUUUGUUUUCUUACAGUGGGCUACUUAAAUAGUCCAUAACUUCUGCUCCAUACAGGCACGGGCUGCAGAACAAGAGGCCUGUUGGAAUUGCCAUAACCAAAGAGAUUGUGUAUAUUGUGGGGGCUGGGGAGUGGGUAGAAACUCACAGAAAGCAGUAUGGUGAAGGGUUUUGGUGUCUGGUAUACACGCAGGCUCUGGGACAGUUUUGGAGAUAGGUCUGGAAAUUGGGUAUAUGUGACGGAGAUGUAUGGCCAAAGGCAAUUUCAUAAACAACUAUAAAGUCAACAAACCCACAAAUUUGCUUUUAGAGCUAAAGUUAAUAUUAUGCAGUUCAGUCUCUCUUUUUUACACACAAGAAAACUAAGGUCCAAAGAGGUACUUGCAAAUAGUAGAUAAUAAAUAUUAGCUGAUUGCAAAUAAUCUAAUCAAGUCAGUCUUUAGACAGAUUCAUUCUUUAUGGUAUUUAAUGUCAGAACGAACUAGUCUUGGUUUUAGUCAGCAAUUCAAGACUAAAUCAUACUUGUCAGCAUGAUAACUAAACAGGACCCAUCAAGGGAAUCUGGCUUUGCUGACACCUUGAUUUCAGACCAGUGAACCUGACUUAGGACAUCUGACCUCCAGAACUAUAAGAAAAUAAAUGUGUGUUGUUUUAAGCCAUCAAGCUUCCUGUAACUUGUUACAGCAGCCCUAGAAAAUAUACAGUGACCUUAGAGAUUCUUCAAGUAAAGGUAAACUUCAGUAAUAUCUUUAUCUCAAUAGCACUGGAAAAUCAGAUAAGCCAUAUUAAUUAUGUUUUUUAAUGUUAUCAGAUGUGGGCCACCAGCCUUAAGCCAGAGGGAGCUUUGUAAGACAGGAACAUAUAAAAUGAUAAAAGCUUCUCUACGUACAGUUUUCCUGACUCUGAUUCUGCGUGGGACAACCAGUGAAAAUUGCAGGUGAAGAGAAGAAAUGCGUAUUUAUUCCUCCACUGGGAAAAAAAAUACCAUCCAAAGCUACAUGACUUGAGAGACAAGGUCUCACUAUGUUGCCCAGGCUGGCCUCGAACUCCCGGGCUUCAGCAGUCCUCCCGCCUCACCCUCCGAUGUAGCUAGGACUACAGGACCGCGACCCGGCGCUGCCUAAGAACUGUUUUUAAACGUGAAAGCCACGGCUAUCAUUUGCUUUUUGCUCUGCUCUUCAUCUUCUGGAUAAACCUCGUAACACACUGCUUGUUUUGGGUGGUAGUCUGCUGCCUACGCCCCGUCAGACAAGUGGCCUGAGUCCCCCGCAACCCCUGCAGGUCCGGCCGCCGGCGCCAAGCCUCAAGGCAUCCAAGCCAGGAACGAUCGCGGUCAGCUCUGCCACGGAACAUGUGCAAGACCCGGCAGCAGGUUCCGGGGGAGGCGAAUUGAUUUCACAACGGUCGAGAAGGAGGACCCCGCCCACUUCGUCAUUUCUCGGAAGCCCAGGGACUCGCCGGAAGAGCGGCUCAAAAGCCGGAAAACUGGCAAAUCCGAGUCUCCCGGCGCAUGCGCGGCGCAAUCGGCUUCGCGUGGUUGCAGUAGAGAGGAUCCCUCCGCCAGCCACUGCAUCCGGCGGCCGGAUCUAACUUACCCGCUAGCGUUUUACCCUUGCGCGGCCGUGGCGUAGGGCGGUCUUUUCCCUUGGUCCUCCGCGGCGCCGCCUCUUGUGACGUAAGCCGCAGAAUCCUCUGUCUUAGUUCGGCUCUAUUGCCGCGAGCUUGACUCUUCCUGGGUCUGAGGAAAAGUAAAAGUAAUUUUGUCAUUUCCUGAAACUUCAAGUUAAACCUUUAAGCUGUUCAUUUCCUAAAAGGGUGAAAACGCGGGCACCCCUCGAGCUAGUUCAUCGCCUUUUAACCUGUUGUUGGAUCUUUCCAGAUCACCACACCACAUCACCCAGCCACUCUGCCCAAUGGGAGGGCAGACAGUGUUCCAGUGUAGGAGGAAGGGGUGUAAGGUGCGGGCAGUUUGUGAGGAGGGCACCAACGAGAGCUACUGUGAGAAAGUCUGCAUGGUCAAAAAGUGGAUUACCAAGAACAAAGCAUCAUAAUGUUGUCCAGUGGACCCCAGGUUACAAUUUGGUUUGACUUUGAAACAAAAAGUUAUCAUGUACACAGAAAAGCACAGAAGCAGAGGAGUGGAAUGAAGUGUGAUAUUAGUGAACGAAAGAGCCAACAUUGAAGUGACCACAGUUCCAUAUGGUCUUGCAAAGCAACCACUGAAUGUUUUGCCUAAAAAGGAAGACAUCAACAUUGGUGGAAGGUACCUGAAAGCCAGAGCUAAAAGAGCCUAUUGAAACAAUCACUACAUGGCAGCCUGUGGGACAUGGAGCUGGGCAGGAGAGAUGGAAAACAGAAGCGAUCAGGCACUGAUUAUAUGUCAAAUUCAACAAAGUUCAGAUAUACGAGGGAACUUCAAAAGUUCAUGAAAAAAAUGGAAUUAGAAGAUAAAAAUAAAAAGUGGAAACUGUAUUUCUCAACAUAAACUCCAUCAAGUUCAAGACACUUUGGUAAGUGGUAAUAUCAGCCAUUUAGUCCAUUAUUAAAGAGCUAAGGGUCCUGGGAAUUUAACCAUGUUGAUGCAGUCGUUUUAACAUUAUUAACUGAAACAAAAUAAGUGCCCUUUGCAGAUUUUUUAAGAUUAGGAAACAAAAAGUCAGAAGGAGCCAAAUCAGGACUGUAAGGUGGAUGCCUAAUAAUUUUCCAUGGAAACUCUUGCAAAAUCGCCCUUGUUUGAAGAGAAGAACCAGCAGGAGCAUUGUCUUAGUGGACAAGGACUCUCUAGUAAAGUUUUCCUGGGUGUUUGUCUCUUUUCUUCUUCCUUCCUUCCUUCCUUCCUUCCU